CAUAGAGACACGGAACACUCUCCAGCUCUCUCUCUCUGCUCCGACACACUCUGACAAACUCCUCCUCACUGUCCACACGAAGGGGCAGCUUCCUGUUGGAGACAGAGGUGAGGGGUUAGGAACACUCUCCAGCUCUCUCUCUGCUCCGACACACUCUGACAAACUCCUCCUCACUGUCCACACGAAGGGGCAGCUUCCUGUUGGAGACAGAGGUGAGGGGUUAGGAACACUCUCCAGCUCUCUCUCUGCUCCGACACACUCUGACAAACUCCUCCUCACUGUCCACACGAAGGGGCAGCUUCCUGUUGGAGACAGAGGUGAGGGGUUAGGAAC